rnacentral:rRNA from 2 species
GGGGAAUAUUGCACAAUGGGCGAAAGCCUGAUGCAGCGACGCCGCGUGAGUGAAGAAGUAUUUCGGUAUGUAAAGCUCUAUCAGCAGGGAAGAUAAUGACGGUACCUGACUAAGAAGCCCCGGCUAACUACGUGCCAGCAGCCGCGGUAAUACGUAGGGGGCAAGCGUUAUCCGGAUUUACUGGGUGUAAAGGGAGCGUAGACGGCAUGGCAAGUCUGAAGUGAAAACUGUGGGCUUAACCGACAGACUGCAUUCAAAACUGUUUUUCUUGAGUGAAGUAGAGGCAAGCGGAAUUCCUAGUGUAGCGGUGAAAUGCGUAGAUAUUAGGAGGAACACCAGUGGCGAAGGCGGCUUGCUGGGCUUUUACUGACGCUGAGGCUCGAAAGUGUGGGGAGCAAACA